UCUGUCUUCAGUAUGUGAAUGUGCAC
rnacentral:piRNA from 1 species